rnacentral:lncRNA from 1 species
UGGGCCGGACAGGCACCUUCGUGGCCCUGUCGAGGCUGCUGCAGCAGCUGGAGGAGGAGCAGAUGGUAGACGUGUUCCAUGCUGUGUAUGCACUCCGGAUGCACCAGCCCCUCAUGAUCCAGACCCUGAGCCAGUACGUCUUCCUGCACAGCUGCCUACUGAACAAGAUUCUGGAAGGACCCUUCAACAUCUCUGAGUCUUGGCCCAUCUCUGUGACGGACCUCCCGCAGGCGUGUGCCAAGAGGGCAGCCAGUGCCAAUGCUGGCUUCUUGAAGGAGUACGAGCUCUUGCUGUAGGCCAUCAAGGACGAGGCUGGCUUUUCCGCACCCCCGCCUGGCUAUGAGCAGGACAGCCCCGUCUCCUGUGAGUCUCACUGUGGACCCUGUGGAGGGGCAGGGGGCCAGCGUGGGCUGGGGACCUCUGGCAGCUUCACCCUCACUGUCUUCCCUCAGAUGACCGUUCUCAGGGGCAGUUUUCUCCGGUGGAGGAGAGCCCCCCUGACGACAUGCCCGAAGCCUGGCUCUUCCCUCCAUAGGAAUUCUGGCCAACGGAGAUGCAGCCCGUAGUCACAGACAUGGUGACGGUGCACUGGGUGGCUGAGAGCAGCACAGCAGGCUGGUUCUGUACCCUCCUCAGGGUCACACAUGGGGAGAGCAGGAAGGAAAGGGAGGUGCAGAGACUGCAAUUUCCAUACCUGGAGCCUGGGCAUGAGCUGCCCGCCACCACCCUGCUGCCCUUCCUGGCUGCUGUGGGCCAGUGCUGCUCUCGGGGCAACAACAAGAAGCCGGGCACACUGCUCAGCCACUCCAAGUGUUGUUGGACAAUGGUCUUGGGGGAGUGGACAAUGGUCUUGGGGGAGCGGACACUGGAAGCCCCUCCCUGCCCUUCUGGCAUAGCCUCAGAUCUCCCUGGGCUCUGCUUGGGUUAUGGGUCAAAAGGACACAGUCUCACAAUGCCCCUGUCUUCUCCACACCCUACCCUGUCCUCAGGAAUAUGGUGGGAAUUUACCGCCUCCCUCCCUAGGUCCAGGCUGGCCGGCUGACCAAGUGUCCGGUGUCCCUUCUCAGUCCCUGCGCCCAGGUUGGGUUUUCCCACAUCCGUGGACACCCCCGCCACACCCCCUUUAGGUACCUCAUCCACCUCUAGGUCAGUUGCAGCAAGGGUGCAACCCAGCUGGGCACCUUCCUGGCCAUGGAGCAGCUGCUGCAGCAGGCAGGGUCUGAGUGCACCGUGGAUAUCUUUAACGUGGCCCUGCAGCAGUCUCAGGCCUGUGGCCUUAUGACCCCAACACUGGUGAGAGGCGAC